rnacentral:rRNA from 1 species
UACGUAGGUGGCAAGCGUUGUCCGGAUUUACUGGGCGUAAAGGAUGCGUAGGCGGACAUUUAAGUCAGAUGUGAAAUACCCGAGCUUAACUUGGGUGCUGCAUUUGAAACUGGGUGUCUAGAGUGCAGGAGAGGUAAGUGGAAUUCCUAGUGUAGCGGUGAAAUGCGUAGAGAUUAGGAAGAACACCAGUGGCGAAGGCGACUUACUAGACUGUAACUGACGCUGAGGCAUGAAAGCGUGGGGAGCGAACAGG